GAGGUGAAGGUUACAGUGAGCCAAGAUCGUGCCACUAAACUACAGCGUGAGCAAGACUCCGUCUCCAAAAAAAAUUUAAAAAAAUUAAAAACCCAGAAACGAAUGAAUUAUGUUAAAUUCGCACUAGGCAUCUUUUUCUUCAAAAAUUAAGCAAUCAAGUUUCCCAAAAAGCAAGUCAGUUUAACAUUCAAGUUACAAAAGCAUCUUUCAAAUUACAGUUAGCAUUCUACAAGAUUUAGCCCUUUUUUUUUUAAACAGCUAAGCUCUUUAUAUUCUUUUGUAGCUUCUCUAAUUACACACUCAGAGCUAGGGUUUACAUACAGAUGACAAAAGUACCUUUGAUAAAGAGUUCCAAAAACUAACUGGAAUGCAAAAUCCUAGAGUAAAACCAUCUCACCAAGUAGGCACAGUAGCUCAAAAGAGAAGAGAACAAGUCUGCUAAAGCCAUCUUCUAUGUGGACUACAUGCCUUAUUGAAGCAUGCUUAUGAAUAUUAAAACAUCAUUUUGACUGCAUUCAUUCCAAACCUCUUCAGAGACCUCAAGGUCUUACUGCCCCACAAGAUGUCCCACAAAUAGUAGUGACCAGGUUGUCAUCAUUCCCUGGAAACUGCUUAUGAGUAAGAUUCUUUUCUAAUUGAGGAAGGCAGGGAAAAAGAAAUUGACCAGUUGUACCCUAAAAAGAGUAUCACAAACCAAAUGUUAUCAUUCAAACUCUUCAUUUAACUGUAAGAGAAAAUUACUGUUUUUGAUUUAAAAUGCUUUACCUAAAUUUGAAACAAAAUAUUUGCACUAAGGGUUUAUAAGGCUCAUUUGUUUUUUUAAAAACUGUCUCAUUUAAAUGUUCAUAACUCAGUGACACAUGAAAAAAGGUACAAAACUAUAUAUAUAUAUAUAUAUAUAUAUAUGGAUUCUAUUUUUCAAAAAUGGUAUAUUACUGUAUAUGCCUUAGUUAUCUCCCAAAAACACGACACUGCUUUUAUUCAAGGUCCUCACAACAUCUAGCAGGAAUUUCUGGUUACUUCGUUUGGCUUAAACAAAAUAGGGUAGCAGCUAUCCUAUGUUACUAAACAGCUUGGAGUCACAGAGGACCAUUUUAUAUUAGGGACAUACAACAUAUAUGUAUGCUUUCUGUAUAUAUGUUUUAUACACACCAAGUAUAUAUAGAGAGAAUAUGUAUAUGUGCCUAAAAUAAAACACAGAUGAAGGAUUUACCUUCAUCGUACAUUUCCUCUAUCAAAUAGGCCUCUGCACGAUCUUUCAGGGCAUUCACAUUGUCGGGUUCCAUCUGUAAAACUUCAGAACAUACCCUAAUAGCUUCAACAGGCUUCUCGUCCUAAAACGAAAUGUGAGAAAAGGAUUUAUGGUUGGUAUUCCAUACGUGGAGUUUUCACAUUUCUGGAAACAAGUCAACUGUUACCUUAGAAAAGCAGUGGCAAAUCCUCUCCUUUGAACGAACUGUAUAUUCAGCAAUGCUUGGCUCUGUUUUCAUGACAGAUUCAUAUUUACUGGUAGCAUCUGUGUAUCUAAGAAAUGAACAAAUUAUGAUAAGAUACAAUGUCAUUUGAUUUCCAGAGCUGCAGAAAGGCCCCUCCCCUCUUCACCAUGUGUUGCUUAGUCAAUCCAAUUGGAUGAGUCCCUGGCUUCAGAUUUGGCUUUUCCCUUAUUAAUCUAGAGUUGCAUAGAGGGUACACUCCAUAGUUAAAAGAGUUAGGAGAUAAAACAUCUGACCACAGAAGAUGCAGGUGGACAGAACAAAGCAUACCUGUGAGUACCAGUCAAACCACAAGAAUUUCCUUACAGAAACAAACUUGGAAUUCCGAAACUGAGUAAAACACCCUGUUGAGUCUAACUUACACUGAUCACAUUGAACAAUACAGAGAUCAAGUUUUAUUUCUUGGUCAGUACACACUUCCAUGAAAAUAAUGGAGCCCAUUACAUGCCAUUUCAUAUAAUUAAUUAAUGUAAGUAUUCACAACAAGGUACAAUGUAGUUCAUACAGAAGGUACCUGAUUAAAUUCCCAACUGUACAAGCUUUCUAAGAAUAAAAGCCAUUUCAGCAUUUUCUUUAAUCCAGCAAAAAGUACUAAUCCUGUUAUAUACUAUGUUACUUUCCUCAACAAUACUAAAAUAAAAAAUAUAUUUCUAUGCUAUGGUGGCUCAUUAUUCCCAAAAUACUACAAUCUUCAUAUGUAAAUAUGCCAAUGUAUUAAAA